AAGUCAUGUUGAGGGCAAUGUCGUAACAAUCUCUUGUAACGCUCCCAAACUUCAUAUAGCGACUCCCCCUAUAAUUGUUGAAAUUUUUGUAUGUUUCUUUUUAAGCUU